rnacentral:rRNA from 1 species
AACGUUGGCGGCGUGCUUAAUACAUGCAAGUCAACUGAAGCACCGGUAGUAAUACUGGUGUGGAGGUGGCGCACGGGUGAGUAACACGUAGGUAAUCUGCCUUCAGGUCUGACAUAACCCCGAGAAAUCGGGGCUAAUAGCAGAUGAUGCAGCGGCUUGACAUCAAGACAGUUGUUAAAGCUUCGGCGCCUGAAGAUGAGCCUGCGUCUGAUUAGCUAGUUGGCGGAGUAAUAGCCCACCAAGGCGACGAUCAGUAGCUGGGUCUGAGAGGAUGAUCAGCCACACUGGAACUGAGACACGGUCCAGACUCCUACGGGAGGCAGCAGUAAGGAAUAUUGCUCAAUGGGAGAAAUCCUGAAGCAGCAACGCCGCGUGAGGGAUGAAGGGCUUUUGCUCGUAAACCUCUGUAGUGAGGGAAAAAUUUCCAUUCUAUGGAAUAUGAUGGUACCUCAAAAGUAAGCCCCGGCUAACUACGUG